CGCUUGGUGGUGUAACGGAAGCACAUCGUUCUGAUACGGCGGGAGCGACGGUUCAACUCCGUCCCGAGCGA
rnacentral:tRNA from 1 species